GCAGCAUCGGAAGAAUACAGACGACAGUUGAGAGAGAAUCAUCUGGCUGCAAUAAGCAGUCAGAGGGAAUUCAGAAUGAAUAAUCUUGAAUCCCAAGUCUCCAAUAUGACAACUGCUCCAGAAGAUUUUCAUUGUAUUGAACUGGAAAAAUAUAAACACUUCUAUCAAUUAGAGUUAGAAGACAGAAAAUACUUGCCAAAGAAACUAAAAAUAGCUACUGAGAGGCCAGCAGCGUUCAGUAGCAGUCUUGUUGCAGAGACACAGGAGACCAGAAGUUUCUCUGGCCCUUGUACAAUGAGCACAGAGUCAGCUUCUGCUGGAACUGUUGUUGAUGGGUUAGGUCUUCACAGAGAAUUUCCUGGAAGAGAAUACUCACUGUUUUCUUCUUCCUGCCCAUGGACUUUAGAUACCAGCUUGAAGAAUAACUUGAGUGAGAUGCAGCAGGAGUUGGAAGAAAUAACUGUAGGACUAGAAGUAGAUUUAGAUCAUGUGUGUUUUGACAAGUGUAUCACAGAAGUGAUCCUGUGGAUCUUCUCUUUGCAUCCUAACAUGGGAUCUACAUCUGAUUUGUCUUAUUCCUGAUGAUGUUAGCAUUGACCGCUAAUGGUGGUAUCUGCUGUGUUUGAGAUUUGACUUGCUGAAUGAGCCAAGCAUAGUACCUGAAAUAAAUCUAACUCAGUCAGGUGAUACUGGCUUUAUAAAACUAUUUGCAGGGAGAAGCAUACUGUUCCCAAGUCCCUCCUGGGAUGCUCAAGCUGGAUCAAUGUCCCUCCACUUCGGGCUGUGUCCCACUCUGCUGAAGUCACCAGCAACAGUACCAGGAAUGGCCAGCAGGCAGUGCACUCACAGUCCAAGCACCUCUUUUUUCUGCUACAGGACCUCCAGAGAAAAGGACCCACUGCACUCAUGUGGCUCCUGCAGUCUGGGCCAGAGUUGAUAAAUGUCUGUGUUGGGAUGAGGAAGAUGGAACCGGAAUGUUUGGGGCACCCUGGUGAAGACAAAGGCAGCAGGCAGGGGAUGGAGAACAGCUUCCUACUUUGUCUGUUGCUACCACUCCAAAGUGAAAAUCAUAAUGCCUACUUUUGCCAGAUGGGAAAUAGAAGAUGAGCUCCUUCGUUGGUGCCAGUAAUACCAGCAGGCAAGAACAUCAGAGCACGGCUGCUUCUGUUCAGUGGAUAUGAAGUAGAUAAUCUGCUCCCCGAUGGACUCCACUGAAACCAUCCUGGUAUUUCAUUGCAGUUGGGUGGGUAUUGCCAGCAAGGUUUUCUGCUGUUAGACCAUUCUUUUCCAAUCCUUUGGUUGGGAGAGCAGGCUUCUUGUUUUGUUUUGUCUGUGCCACUUAGUGGUCCUGAUUGGAGGCUUCCGCAGCACUCUCUCCAGAGCAUAUGGGAAGAAAUUGAGGACCCAAGGAGCUCAUCAUUGUGUUAUUCCCCACACCACAGGAUUUUUGCGCUUUCAAUGUGGUGAAGUUGA